rnacentral:rRNA from 1 species
CGGCAACAGCUCAAAUUUGAAAUCUGGCGCAAGCCCGAGUUGUAAUUUGUAGAGGAUGUUUCUGGCGACGUGCCUUCCGAGUUCCCUGGAACGGGACGCCAUAGAGGGUGAGAG